rnacentral:rRNA from 1 species
CCCUUAGAUGUUCUGGGCCGCACGCGCGCUACACUGAUACGCUCAACGAGCUCCUUGGCCGAAAGGUCCGGGUAAUCUUUGAAAUCGUAUCGUGAUGGGGAUAGAACAUUGCAAUUUUUGUUCUUCAACGAGGAUUGCCUUGUAAGCGCACGUCAUCAGCGUGCAUUGAAUACGACCCUGUAUUCUGUACACACCGCCCGUCGCUCCUACCGAUUGAAGUUUUCGGUGAGUUGACAGGAGGAUUUUUUUGAAACUGGUUCGCCAGUGGAUUUUAGAUCCAAAUGCCAACGAAUCGAUGGCUUUAGAGGAAGGAGAAGUCGUAACA